UAUAACGCGUCUAAAUAUCAUCGGCUAGCUGGUUUUGCACGAAGCGCUUUCAAGCAGAAAACAUUUUUAAUCGCUUUGUUUUUUUGCAAAAGAUAAGUCCAAAACCUGACAUAGUUCUUGCGAUAUAUAUUCUUCUAUCAAAACGAUGUCUCUUGCAGCGUUGACGAACACCUUACGAUCUACUAUUCAUGUUGGAUUGAAGCCUGUUUUGGCAAGAAAAACUCCUCGUCAACUUACAUCUCGUACAGUAUUUUAUACUCAAAGAAAGAGACCAGCUACAACCGACGAAAACAUGACUUUAUUAGUGGGGUUUGGUGCACUGAUUGCGUCCGCCUCGGUUUGUGUAAAAAUGAAAAUCUUUGAUGUGGCCUAUGGUAGAGCUGAGCAGUAGAAAAUAAUAGAAUGACCAGUCUCCCAGGCUCACGAAAGAUUGAAAGAAUAGUUUAAAUCUACAGUAGCAAGUUUAUAAUGAUGAUAAAAAACGUAAUAAAGUAAAAACAUGAAUCUGAGCUCAA